rnacentral:tRNA from 1 species
GCCCGGGUGGUGGAAUGGUAGACACGCAACACUUAAAAUGUUGUGAGGCAACUCGUGCCGGUUCGAGUCCGGCCCUGGGCA